UACGAAGGGGGCUAGCGUUGCUCGGAAUCACUGGGCGUAAAGCGCACGUAGGCGGAUUGUUAAGUCAGGGGUGAAAUCCUGGAGCUCAACUCCAGAACUGCCUUUGAUACUGGCGAUCUUUGAGUCCGGGAGAGGUGAGUGGAACUCCGAGUGUAGAGGUGAAAUUCGUAGAUAUUCGGAAGAACACCAGUGGCGAAGGCGGCUCACUGGCCCGGUACUGACGCUCAUGUGCGAAAGCGUGGGGAGCAAACAGG
rnacentral:rRNA from 1 species